UGAAUGGGUUUCUAGGGUUCCGACUCUCCAGCUUCAGCUCUAGAGGUGUCAGCUGUCAGGGUGUCUGGUCCGAGAGAAACCGCCAGAGAGCAGCGUAUCGUUGCUGAAAUAGACAUUCUCCAGCAAGAUGCUGGCUGCUCAUCUGGUACACGGCGGGAUAAAAGCCCGGGAGGG
rnacentral:sRNA from 2 species